GACGAACGCUGGCGGCGUGCUUAACACAUGCAAGUCGAACGGAAAUUCUCCAGCUUGCUGGAGUACUCGAGUGGCGAACUGGUGAGUAACACGUGGGUAAUCUGCCCUGCACUCUGGGAUAAGCCUGGGAAACUGGGUCUAAUACUGGAUAUGACCUUUCUCCUUAUGGGGUUUGGUGGAAAGUUUUUCGGUGUAGGAUGAGCCCGCGGCCUAUCAGCUUGUUGGUGGGGUGAUGGCCUACCAAGGCGACGACGGGUAGCCGGCCUGAGAGGGUGAUCGGCCAAAUUGGGACUGAGAUACGGCACAGACUACUACGGGAGGCAGCAGUGGGGAAUAUUGCACAAUGGGAGGAAGCCUGAUGCAGCGAAGCCGCGUGAGGGAUGACGGCAUUCGGGUUGUAAACCUAUUUCAGCAGGGACGAAGCGUAAGUGACGGUACCUGCAGAAGAAGCACCGGCUAACUAUGUG
rnacentral:rRNA from 1 species